rnacentral:rRNA from 1 species
UACGGAGGAUGCGAGCGUUAUCCGGAUUUAUUGGGUUUAAAGGGUGCGUAGGCGGACUGUCAAGUCAGCGGUAAAAUACGGGGGCUCAACCUCCGCCCGCCGUUGAAACUGGCAGUCUCGAGUUGGAGAGAAGUAUGCGGAAUGCGCGGUGUAGCGGUGAAAUGCAUAGAUAUUAGGAGGAACACCAGUGGCGAAGGCGGCUUACUGGACAGUAACUGACGUUGAGGCUCGAAAGCGUGGGGAGCAAACAGG